CAUCGAUCAAAGAAAGAUAUCAGCCAAUAUAUUGAGGUUUUUUUCUCCCCAAUAUUGAUAUCUAUAUCGGCCCCAAAAAUCACACAUCAGUCGGGCCUAUUUUUAAUCUCAACAAGUUUUUUCCCUGGUUAAAAGAAGGUUGAAUCAAAUAAAAAAAAGAGCUCCCUAAUUGUCAGGAAGGUCCCAGGGAGUGAAACUUAUCUUUAAACUCACACUCCUCUUGGUUCACUUUGGGAGUUGAGACACCAUAUUCUUUUUUGUUUUACGCCAAGUCCCUGAAUUCAAUUUACUCAUACUGGAGCUGCUGUAUUGAAUGUAAUACGAGAAAGGUUUGAUUUUAAGGGAGGGCUUGAUUGCAUCCUGUUGCACAUGUGCAUGAACUGUCCGCUGAAGAAGGAAGUGUUUGGCAGAGUGUGCAAGUGGAAUACAGGAAGAACGGGGACAUCAUGUGGAGGUGCAGUAAGAACUUUUAAGGCAGUGAGACGAAGGAUUUAACAGGAUUUACAAUAUUACAAGAUUUUCACCCGUUAUGGAGGCAGGAAAAGAGACUCUGUACUUGAUGCAUGCUUGUUUUUGCAACCGUCGUAGUAACAGUACCAUUUUCAUAAGAUUGCACAGGUUUUUAAUAGGAACUUAAAAUGCAAAUGCAGUAGCUUUAAAUUGCUUACUUAAUUAAUAAGAAACUUCACAUCAGUCAGUCAGUCUGUGCUGCUUUCCUGCACCACACUCUAUAGUUGGAGUUUCUUUCUUUUAUCGCUGUUUAACUUUUUUUUCAUAAAAGUCACUCACUCCUUUUCCUUUUCUUCCUCAUGUCUUUGUCCACUCGUUCAAUCUUUUUCCAUCUCACACAGUCAGACACACUUUGUCCUGCCCUCUUUUCUUUGCCUCUGCCUCUCUGUGUGGCAGCGGGCAGGCUUGUUUCUGGCAAUCGUUGCAGCCUGGCACAGUGUGUCCCUGGCAGCGUGUGUGUGUCUCUGAGUGUGUGUGUGUGUGUGUGUGUGUGUGUGUGUGUGUGUGUGUGUGUGUGUGUGUGUGUGUGUGUGUGUGUGUGUGUGUGUGUGUGUGUGUGUGUGUGUGUGUGUGUGUAUGUCUGCUGUCUGCCAGUCCACCAGUCUCAAGUACCAGCUGGGCACCCAAACUCACAACCAAAAUAAACUGGCUGCACUAUCAAUGAGCCCAUGAGGUGCAGCGCGUGUGCAGGAGUGUGUUUAAGCUUGUGUUUGUGUGUACAUGCAUAUGUACUUGUGUCAGCGUGAGUGUGUGUGUGUGUGUGUGUGUGUGUGUGUGUGUGUGUCAAUCGGACACCCUGCUUAUUAAGUCUCAUUGAACCGAGUGGUGAAACAAACACAGUCCUUCCUCAGAUGAAUGCCUGAGAUGUUUCGCCCGUCUCAACUUUGCAUUACACUGAGGCCCUCCUUGCAAGGAUUAAAGACUAAAACAAUUACAAAGCCUUAUUUGCAAUUCAAAUUCUCCUAAAUGUAGACUUAAUCCCCAUUUUCCAAAGGCAGCAACACUGAGAGGCAGAAUAAAUGUGUGAGAGAGCCUCUGUCUGGGUUUCUGUUGCUAAAAUAACACUUAUAAGUUAUAGUAGGGGGGAUAAUGAAUGUGCUUUGAGCUGGUUCAGUUAUAUCAGGAGAACCGCUUGUUUCCGUUAAAAGUCUUUGUCAUGACGGGAUACACACAGAAUCAGCAGUGGAGACAUUGAUUUUUGUGCAGGAAGAUGUACGUCGAUUCUCUGUAAUAUUUGCAUUCAGUUUUAUUUGCAUGCGUGUAUUUUGAAUAUUCACACGUGUGCAUUAAGGCGUGCACUUGUCCUAAUGGAAGGGUCCGCAGUGAGCUAGUUUACUGCUGCCCAGGGUAUAUUUACAGACAGCGACUUUAAUGUGGUGUAAUGAUUAUUUUUAUUCCAGGUACUUCGACAGCCCGUUCGCUGUGAGUAGAAUGACUCCCCAUUGGCCCGCUGAUUACCUUUGAGGCUGCCACCACACCUGGCUCCUUCAAAUCUCCUCCUUCUCCACCAAUACAACUUCAGAACCAGCUCGUUUUAUUGCUGCUCCUUCAUCUGUUCGUCCCUCUCUCCCCUUUUCUCUUCCGGUUUAUUCUUUCACACAUCGUCUAAACUCAACACUACUCUAUAAAUAAGGUAAUUGGGUGGCAAUGUCACCACAAAAAGCACUUGUGAAACAUUUUUAAAACUACAAAAAGGAAUUGACAAAUUCAAUUUUUAAUCUGCAUUAUGAUGUUUGCAGAAAAUAAGGAGCAUGAAAAAGAUUAAGAUGCAAAUGUUAAUAGGGACAACCAACUGUCCACUCUGAAGUACUUCCUGUCUUCCUCUUCUCUUAUGAGUGUCUUGAGUCCACAUCUUCUUUAUUUUAUUUUCUUUCGUGAGAACAUCUUCCUUCCCGCUGUACAUUUUCACAAUCUUUCUUGUUUGUACAACACUCUUCUGUAUACCUUUUCUCUUAAAGACAGCGUACAAGUGGAAAGAUUGAUUUUUUAUGAAUAAUAAAGAGAAGUGGGCCAAAUGAGCUCGGCCAUUUAUAGUCACAUUCUGAGAGCGCUGUGUGAUGACAGCCUUGUUAUAAUUGUUCUGAAGUAAUGACUUUAAGUCCAGCAAGAGUUUCCGACGUAUUUUGGUUAAUGAUCUUUGUUCAACUGAGAAAAGGGCAGCAGUUUAGUUGCACAUCAUCCAUAACAAUUGAGACCAGAUUGCCGUUCCUAGCUUAUGAUCACUCAAACAUAAAUCGAGCUGUAGGAUUUUUACAUUACCCAGAUGAGUCUCUCGCCAGAUUUAGCUUUGGAACCCUGGGGCUAACCUUACUGUAAUCCCUCCAUUCAUCGCCCACGAGUCCACAGAUCCUGUUCAAGUCCAAAGUGGCCAAUGGCAUCAAGUGAGGAAUCUGUCCAUCAGUAAAGUCAGUCAGUCAUAGACACUUAAAGUACAGCAGCGUGAGGACAUUAGAGGGAAAACAUAAAAUGUUUAAUCCAAUUACAAUCUAGUUUCAACAAAUCAGUGAAUGAAGUUAUUGUGUUUUGUACUUCUAUCAGUGUUGCAUUGACUGCAGAAGCAUCCAGAGGAACUUCAUGGACUUUUACCCACACCCAAAUGCAACCUCAGGUCAUUUAACAGUGCACACAAGCAACCCGAGGGAUGACUUUGAGACUGUACUACUUGCUGAUUAAAUCAGUAUGUCAGGAAAAUGACACAAAUGAAGCAGGCGAGGCACUGAGUCUGGUUCUUCUUGAGGUUUCUAUUUUACCUCAUCCAAGAGUACAGUCAGCACCUGCUGCACAAGUUAAUAGACAUGAAAUAACUUUUGUUGUGAUUUGGCACAUUUCAAAUAAAAAAUGAUAAAUUGAUUGAUCGAUUGACACGAGUUAUAAAGCUGCCAACAUUAUCUCAGUUUAAAGUCAAAGAAAUAAAUAGUUUUUCAGCAUGUUGACACAGUGACAUUGCUGAGGAUUGACUUUGAUUUGACAUAUUAUCAAACAAUUAACUGCUAGCUCAACAAAUGAUUACUAACCCAGUAACCCUACAUUGAACCCUAUACCCAUAUUGAAUAUUAAAUUGUUACAGCACUGUAAUCAUUUUGCAUUCCAUUAUCAUUAUCACACUGCAUUAUCCAGAUGUUUGUAUACUGGUUACUAAGAGCUUAUCUGUUGCUUCUUUCAUAAAAACAAUAGAGUUAAAAAUAGAAGUGCACUAUAUAUUGAUAAACUUUUGUAUGUGCCUGUGUGUGUGCAAUCCUUCUUUCUCUGAGUGAGCGACACUGACCUAGCUGACCUAAAGGUCAUCCCCGGGUCAUAGGCUGCCCCUCUUCAAGGUUAAUUCAUCGGCGAGAGACAGAAAAUUAAAUAAAAUCCACUUUGUGUCCUUAGUCACAAGUGAUAAGUGUGAACUUCAACCUCAGCUCUGCUGUCAGGAUGAAAGCCUUCAGAUCAGUUAUUUAUAUCUCACAUGAUUAAGUUCACUGAAUAAAUAGGGCAGCACAUCUGUUUGGUUAUUUAGUGACUGUUUGGACAUAUUAAGGCCUCAGUGUUCAUGUAUCUAGAGAAAAGGAAAUCAGAGGGACUAGAAGUUACGUUGUAGGUGUGGACAUGUUUUCAUACUACAUGUAUUGUUUCUCUUUUAUGUCCUCUGUGUGCUGCCUGAUCUGUCUUUACUUUGUCAGAUAUUUUCUUUAAAAAGUGACAUUUGGAAUAGAGGGAUCCUCAGCACUGCGCUGCUCUCUGAAAAGGUCAGCUUUCACUGAAUGAGAGUGUUCGACUGGCCGACGCUCUGAGAGAGAAAAGAGAGAGAGCAGUUUCUACUUCAGGGUGAGAGAAGCUCCGUUUGGUUGGAUAUACUGUAGAUUCCUGUGUGUUGACUUGGUUUGGCUGAUCUGAGGCUCUUCCUCUCUGCUGCUCUCUUCUGUUCUGGACUGUUCUGCUGGAUGCUGUAAUCUCCUCAGUGCAUGGCCAGAUUACUGUCUGCUCCAUAUUGUCUGGUGGCGGGCUGCAGAACGGAGAGACGGCAGGAGGAGGGGAGAGAGGGAUGGGAUGGAGUCGGCUCUUAUUUGCAACUACAUGAGGAAGAUUACCUUUUUUAUUAAUGUAUCCAUCUGGACGUUUGCUAUAUUUGGUUGUUUGUCCAGUCUGUUUGUUUGUGUAUAAAAUUUAUGAGAUUUCAAUCAAGAGAUUAAAGACUUGUUAUUUCUCAAGGGUUGUAAACCAAAUGAUUAAAUAUAAGUCUGAUUAAAUAGUAUUAAAGUAUCUGUAGCAUUCCCUUUGUGACAGAUACUUAAAAUUCCCUGUACUAUUUAUCAAAAGCACCAUUUUUUAUUGAAGUAUUUUCAAAAAAGUAAAAAUAAAGAAAUUUCAGGAUCCAUUGUGGCCCCCUCCCCGCCACCCCCAUCCCUCCACGCGUCUUCCUCUCCAUCUCUUUCUGUCUCCUGUGCACUCUGCGCAGAAAUGAUUUCCAUUCCUGCUGAAUUAAUGAGGUUCUGCUGAACUGAGAAAAGGCAAAGGGAGUGUGUACACACAAACACGCACACACACACACACACACACACACACACACACACACACACACACACACAUACAUACAGAGGAAAUCAUGGAGACACUAUACACAGUCUCCAGCACAGAUUCUCUACUUCAGCCAUAUUUUAGUCUGUAUUCACACUCACUCGUGCACACAGUGAGUCACUGAAGCUUGGCCACUUUAUACGUUUCAUGGCACAAACAGUGUUUUAUUGUAAAGUAAAUAUGAGAAAAAAAAUCACAAAGUUACAGAGUUGGACAGCGACCAAAUUUAAGCUGAAACUGGUGCAACUUGUAUAUUUUCAAGAGUUGUUUUCAUGUUGUACACAGCACACACACACACACACACACACACACACACACACACACACACACACACACACACACACACACACACACAUGAACACAACA